UACGGGGGGGGCAAGCGUUGUUCGGAAUUACUGGGCGUAAAGCGCACGUAGGCGGAUGUGUCAGUCAGGGGUGAAAUCCCGGGGCUCAACCUCGGAACUGCCUUUGAUACAGCACGUCUCGAGUCCGGAAGAGGUGGGUGGAAUUCCUAGUGUAGAGGUGAAAUUCGUAGAUAUUAGGAAGAACACCGGUGGCGAAGGCGGCCCACUGGUCCGGUACUGACGCUGAGGUGCGAAAGCUAGGGGAGCAAACGGG
rnacentral:rRNA from 1 species